AUGCUUAAAAUUGAUCUGGCAAAAGCUUUUGAUCGUCUUGAGUGGAAUUUCAUUAUAUCGGCUUUGACACGAAAAGGGUUGCAUAGUCAUUUCAUUCAUCUCAUCCAUGCAUGCAUAGCUACUCCUGUUUUCUCUGUUAUCAUUAAUGGUCAAUCUUAUGCGAGAUUCAGAAGUAGUAGAGGUAUAAGACAAGGAUGCCCUCUCUCACCUUAUUUGUUUGUCCUUGCCAUAAAUGAGCUCUCAAUAUCCUUGCAAGAAGCCAUGACAGCCAACCACUUGUCAGGUAUAUCUCUUGGACCUUAUUGCCCCCCAAUCCAUUCUCUCAUGUUUGCCGAUGACCUCCUUGUUUGUGGUCUGGCCACCAUAGAGAAAGCUAAUACUAUGAAUGAGAUUAUCCGUUCUUUUUGUACUAUCUCUGGUCAAACCCCCAACUGGACCAAAUCAGGUAUUCUGUUUAGUAAAGGUGUGGAUCCUAGUAUUCAACCUGCAAUCAGAAAUAUCUUUCCGGUUCCCAUCAUUGAUAAUAAUUUCACUCAUUUAGGUCACCCUCUCAUUCUCCCAGCUAAAGAUAGGUCCUCAGCUUAUAAUUUUGUUAUUGACAAAUUCAAAUCCAAGCUCCCAACCUAUAAAGCCAAUAAACUUUCACAUGCUGGUAGACUCACUCUUAUUAAUUCAGUUUUUGCUUCUAUUCCCAUUUAUUAUAUGUCAAAUAUUCUCUUCCCCAAAAAAUUCUUGGCCAAACUUACUGCUAUCAUUAGGAACUUCUGGUGGACGGGAGUUAGGGAAGAAGCUAAUGCCAAAUCUCUUUGUCUUAGAGCUUGGAAGGACAUUUGUGCUCCAAAAAAUGAAGGGGGGCUAGGAAUCAAGAAUAUUCAAGUUACCAACAGGUGUCUCAUUCUUGCAGCUGCUUGGAGAAUUGUUGAAAAGCCUGACAGCCAUCUAUCAAAAAUCCUGAAAUCUAAAUACUUUCCUGACUCCUCUCUUUGGAGAGCCAAUUAUAAUGUUCCCAAAUCUGCCUUUUGGGCCUCCAUUCUUAAAGUUAGGCCAAUUCUUAUUAGAAAUUCUUUUUUCCAAAUCAGGGCUGGCAAUAUCUCCCUUUGGAGCUCUCCGUGGUUUAACGCUUGGGAAAGUAUUUAUGAUCAUCUCAUAAUUCAAGAUAAUGAUUUUAUCUAUCCGGCUCUUAUUAGAGAUCUUUGGAUUCCAGGGCAGAAAAAAUGGAAUGCUAAUCUCAUAGAUCUUUUAUUUGAUUCUGAUACAGCUAAUUCCAUCAAGCAGGUGCCAAUCAUACAGGAAGAAGGUGAAGAUAUUUUAUGUUGGAAACACACACCAACAGAGAAAUUCACUACAAAAAGUGCAUAUAAAACUUGUUUGCAGGUCUUGCAAGAGGAAGGAGAGCCACAACCUAGAACUCUAAACAAUAAUUUAAAAGAACUCUUAAAGCAGGUAUGGAAGGACAGAAAUAUGGCUCCUAGAAUCCAAACAUUUGCAUGGAGACUGGUAAGAAAAGCUUUACCUACAGGGAAGAGAGCAGGAAACAGCUACUUCUGA
rnacentral:rRNA from 1 species